UACGAAGGUGGCAAGCGUUACUCGGAAUUACUAGGCGUAAAGGGCAGGUAGGUGGUUUGGUUAGUCUGUUGUGAAAGCUCCUUGCUUAACGGGGAGAGGUCAACAGAUACUGCCAGACUUGAGUAUAGGAGAGGGUACUGGAAUUCCCGGUGUAGCGGUGAAAUGCGCAGAGAUCGGGAGGAACACCUGUGGCGAAAGCGGCGCACUGGACCAUAACUGACGCUGAGGCGCGAAAGCUAGGGGAGCAAACAGG
rnacentral:rRNA from 1 species